rnacentral:rRNA from 1 species
UACGUAGGGUGCAAGCGUUGUCCGGAAUUAUUGGGCGUAAAGAGCUUGUAGGCGGUUUUGUCGCGUCUGCUGUGAAAUUUCGGGGCUCAACCCCGAACUUGCAGUGGGUACGGGCAGACUAGAGUGUGGGUAGGGGAGACUGGAAUUCCUGGUGUAGCGGUGAAAUGCGCAGAUAUCAGGAGGAACACCGAUGGCGAAGGCAGGUCUCUGGGCCACUACUGACGCUGAGAAGCGAAAGCAUGGGGAGCGAACAGG